rnacentral:rRNA from 1 species
UACGUAUGGUGCAAGCGUUAUCCGGAUUUACUGGGUGUAAAGGGAGCGCAGGCGGCGCGUUAAGCCUGGUGUGAAAGCCCGCGGCCCAACCGCGGGACUGCAUUGGGAACUGGCGCGCUGGAGUGCCGGAGGGGUAGGCGGAAUUCCUAGUGUAGCGGUGAAAUGCGUUGAUAUUAGGAGGAACACCAGUGGCGAAGGCGGCCUACUGGACGGUGACUGACGCUGAGGCUCGAAAGCGUGGGGAGCAAACAGG